rnacentral:lncRNA from 1 species
UUGCACUUAGUGGGUUUCGAAUUUGAGACCUUGAAAGGGAGCAAACCCAAAGACUCAAGUCAAUUGCCACCAGUCUAACCCUUGAGGGUUUCAAUGGGAUGUCUAUUCUUUCUUUCAACUAACCCGUUUUAUUGAGAUGUGUAUGGACAAGAUGUCUGAUGAAUGAUCCCAUGAGAGUUCAUAAACUAAUGAAAUAAAUAAGAGAAAUACCCGGAGGCUUUGCCGCCAUGUAAUGUGUUGAUAGAACUCCAAGUUGAUUUUGGAUUUCAGUGUGAAAGAUUUGGAAAAUAGGAAAUAAUUCAUAUCAAUUUUUUAUCAAGAAUAUCCAAAUAUACCUGCAAUAAUCACCAAUGAAACUGACCCGACUAGGACUACAAACAUCUGAAUGGACUAAAGUGAAAGUAGCAGAAUCCCAAGGUAGAACUGACCCGACUAGGACUACAAACAUCUGAAUGGACUAAAGUGAAAGUUGGCUUUGCCCGAUUAUCAGGACACCAAAGGAAAUGGGAGCGAGUAUGCCCGCGUUGGACUCACACGCUAGAGUGGACAAGUCAGACAAACCCGUUACGACUUUCUGAAGUUUUCAUAAACUGGGAUGUCCCAACCAUUUAUCUAAUAAAUCUGAUGAAUCACUUACAAGACAAGGUGUUGAAGUAGGACAAAAUGUGAGUCCAUAGGAUAAAGUAAUAAAGUCUAUUUGAUUCAUGCCCGGUACCAAUGAUCCAUCUCGUACCGAGUUCCUGUAUAAUAACUGUG